UACGGAAGGGGCUAGCGUUGCUCGGAAUCACUGGGCGUAAAGCGCACGUAGGCGGAUUGUUAAGUCAGGGGUGAAAUCCUGGAGCUCAACUCCAGAACUGCCUUUGAUACUGGCGAUCUCGAGUCCGGGAGAGGUGAGUGGAACUGCGAGUGUAGAGGUGAAAUUCGUAGAUAUUCGCAAGAACACCAGUGGCGAAGGCGACUUACUGGACACAUAUUGACGCUGAGGUGCGAAAGCGUGGGGAGCAAACAGGG
rnacentral:rRNA from 1 species